UUCUCUGAGCUCUCUCAGCUUCCCAGGAGAAGAAAUCCGGGGCAAAGAGAAUUUUUCAGAAAAUAUCACAGUGACAGUAGCAUGCUUGUUAGCUGAGCUCUCCAGGUCACCAGCUACUGACCCACCUGCUGGUGCUAAUGAAAUGUUGUCUGGAGCAAGGGAGAGCUUCAGAGAACCCACAAUGGAUGAAGCAGAUUCCAUUAUUUUCACGAGCUUUGGAGUGUCAUAUUUUGGACCUCAAUUUGCCCUCUAGUUACAAGACUGUCUGAAUUUCACUGUGUCUUCAGUUAGCACCAAUGCCACACCAAUCUGAAUGAGAAUGCAAAGUAUGUGGGCCGGAAAGUUAGGAAAUGGAAGGAGUGGCCUCCCCAGCACUCUGUCUCCAAUGGAAUGUUGGAUGGCUCUGGACUAGCCUGAAGAACAGUAUCAGCUUGAGAUUUGCCCCAAAGGAAAAGAGAAUCUUAAUCCAUCUGGCUCCAGCUGAGGAGCUGCUGUGGUGACCAUACAUCAGAGCAACUUGCUAAGCCACGUGAGAGCUCAGGACCUUCCCAGAGCUUAAAUCACAUUAGCCACCAGUAGUAUGAGACCUGGAUCUCACUGAAAUCAGCAGCACAAGUCUCAGCUGACUUUAUCAGGAAUGCACUACAGGAUUGCCAGGCACUGCUGUUCAGACUGUCAUUGCAGACACCUGGAAUCUGAGCUGAUUUCUGGCCUGUCACACCUUUACAGAAACCAUGUCAGCUAAGAGGAUAAGUAGAAGUGACACAUAAUCCAAAAAAGCUGCCAACUUUCAGUAUUCUGGGUUAUCUCAUUAAGGUUUUACAGGGGUUUGCUGUCUGAGGUUUGUAUCUCAUGCCCAAUAAAUGCAUUAGGCCUGAAUACAGGGCAAGAUUCAGCAAAGAAAACCAGGACAAAAUAUGUCUGAAGCGUGCAUUUGUAAAGAACUGUGUUGCAGUUCACAGAAUAUUGCAAUAGGGUCCCUGCAGAAAAGGGGGUGAGUGGUUGGGCUAGGUGGGACUGUCUCAUUUGGAAUUUGUGCUUUGCAUGUUUUACAAACAAUAUCAAACAUCAUGGGGAGUAGAUUAAAUGGGGAUUUAGGUAGUACACUUCCUGGGGGAGCAGGUAUGAGUAACAAAGGAUUUAGCUUGUGGGAAGCCAGCCAACUGGUAGCUGCCAUAAUUUACAGCUAGAAAGGGAAAUUAAAACAUGGGAGUCCACUUCUUUGUGUUUGAUGUUUUUAUUAAUGUUAAUAAUACACUUUAUAUUAAGCAGUGACCAAAGACAAGGUGAGUGACUGGACGUUAAAUUAGUGGGCUCUUUUUUCUGUCCAUAAAACCUGUUUAAUACUAAGCAGCAAGCCCAAAAGAUGUUAAAGAGCUAAAGCUCCUUCGUUCUGCACAAUAUCACUUUAAAAUAAAGUUAAUCUAAUUCAUGAUGUGCAUCUAUAGGUUUUACAAGAACCUAUAAAUUUCAGGAAAUUAACUUCCUCAUCAUCACAUGUUUAAGCUGGUCUUUUUGAACAGGCAUUUUAUUUUAGGUUAAUCACUGCUGAUUUUUUUUCUGAAAUCUGUUCCUGUUCACUCUCUUGAAAGGGAAAAGAAAGUUGCUUUUAUUUUAUUUAUCAAAUUGGGAUUUCUUUCAGUCACUUGAAUCGGGAAAUGCUUGCUGCUAAUGGAUGUAUAGGCAUAUAUCACUGGAUAUCUGCUUUCAUGCUAAUUAGCUAAUUAUUCAGUUAUUAUGCAGAUUGGUGAAUUUGUCAUGGUUUAUUUUGCAAAGCGGGAACAGAUUUUGAGGUAAGGUGAACCAAACUUAAUAAUAUUGAUUUAAUUAGUGAUGGGCAGCUUUCAUUUGAAGGUGUGGCUUAAAAAUCAUAAUGCAGUUAUAUGAGGUCAUCCUGCAGGUGCUUUUAGAGCUCAGUUUAUUGUCUUUAUUCAUAUUUCCCCUUCAUGUGCUCCCUGAAGUUCCUGAGCUGACGUCUGAAAGCUGAAAAAAAUAUAAACUCCAUUUCAAGGCAGUGAUAUUAUGAAGUUGUGUCUGACACCUCUAUAAACAUGCACAAUUCUAAUUUUCAGUAAACAUCAGGUUUUUCUCCUCAGUUGUUAUCUACAUCUUCAGUCAAGAGCACUUCAACAGCAGUUGCUUUCUGCUGAUUAAUAUUUACCUGCAUGGUCUUGUCAGUCAGGACUUGAAACCCAGAAGGCACCAAACCAGAGUUCAGUUCCUGUAAUCACUGACAGUAAUGCACCUUCUGAAGACACUGCAGCAAUUUUACAGAGCAGGAUUAGCACAAUUUGCAUCACUCAAGCAGUGGCCUGAUACCUUUCUGAGAGAGUUUUCACAGACUGCAAGAACAUUUCAGAAACCCCAACUUUGUCUCAGAGGCUUGGCUCAGUGGUUUGAAACAAACAUAUUUCCAACUGUCUGAGAAUGGAAAAAACCCCAGUUUUAAGUACAGAAAUAAAAUGUACUAGGAUUCAGCAGGAAGCAUGGACACUGGAAUUGUUGAACACAGCGAAUGGCUUACUCAACUCUGAGCUUCUUUUUUAGCAAAUAGCAGUUUUAUUCUAUAGGCAGCAAAGCCAGUUCUCCUUUUUACAUCCACAAGGAGUGCAUUUGCUGAAUGACUUGGCAGAUAAAAUGUGCUUCACUCACUGUCAAGCAUAAAUGAAAGCAGAAGAUUUGUAGCCUCAUUUCUGGGGCCCCUUACCCUCUUUCACCAUUGCCUCUGUGGUUUAGUGAACUGAGAUAUCUGCUGUCUGUUUUCUGUGUGAAUCUGGCACUUUUUGUGCCAGGCCCUCUCUCUGCAAAAUGAGUUUUAUCUCUAGCAUUUCAUAAAGUCUGGUUUUGGUGGCAUUUCCCUCCAUCUCACUACUAAAUGAGCUAUUUUUCUUUUGGUGAAAACAGAGGUUUAUGACCCUUUAACCAAACAUUGGAUAAAGAAAGACUGGGAUAUUUUAGAGACAAGCUGUGCUGCUGUGUUAUUGCUACUUUUGCACUACAAGGUGACAUAUUCAAAGUGAGAAACUCCUAACCAAUUGAAAUUAGUCUCCUGGGUGUACAGAAAGCAUAAACUGAAGAGAAUUGGCUCGGGAAAGGCAGCAUUCAUUGAUAGUUCAUCUCUUUUUUUGUGUCACUAAGCUAAUAAGGAGAAUAGCUGAGACCCACAGACUGCUUCCUUUUCUAUUGUCCCCCAGAGUGUAGCUUGUGGGACUAGAAGAGUGAAAAUUAAAUUACCUUCUCAUGCUUCAGAUGAGCUGGAUACCAAGGGACGCUUGAAUAAAGUUCUAAUCAACAGCCAGUUUUCUGUGUGUAGUCAGAGAGGAGAAAAAACCCAUGAAUGCAGGAUAAUUAUGAAGUCAGUCUUUGGCACAGCAGUUGCUGUAAAAGGGGAGCCAGAGAAGAACCAGCUCCUUUGAGGCACUGAAAGCUGGUGUUGCCAAGGUGUGCUGCCUCCUGACCCCGUUUCCUCUGUGUGCUGUCUGGAGCAGGUGGCAGGGAAUAUGGAUUGUGUGUGUCCCCUCAGCCCCAGAAAUCUGGGAGCUUUUUGUCACCCUUUAUUUCACAGUAGACACUCCAGCUGCCCUGUCAUCUCUUUUCAAAAUCUCUUUGUUCUUAUUGACCUUACUUUGCCCUUGCCUAAAUACAUACCUGGCAAGUGGAAGACCUCAUGUAUGUGUUUUUAAUUGUGUGAUAAAGCUUUGCAUGAAUAAAAUUGGAGUAGCCAGAGGGAGACUGAGACAUGGCCAUCUGCUUACAUCCUUGUAAAUUUUCUGGAACCUGCAAUUAUCUGACUCUAAGUAUCUGAGUUCUUUGCCUGUAAGUGCCAUUGAGUCUGUACUGUCUCUAAAUGACCAAUUCUUUCUUAAAAACCUUAGCUGAAAAAAAUUUAUACCUCAGAAUGAGCUGAGAAUUGGCCACUGCGUAUGUUUGGUUUUAGUGUUCCUAAUUCUUGGCUCGAGCCAUGAAAAGGGAUUAACAUGGUGGAAUAUGAAAUAAAGUGUUGAUAAAACUGGUGGUUUAUUUUGAGCCACUUCAGCUGUAGCAGUUCAAACUGCAGCCUUUGGAGAAGUGUUAUGCAUGGACGUGGGAGCACACUUCAGAUGACUUGAGUGAGGCAGAGGGAACUCUCCAACACUCACACGUGGCGACCUCUGCACGUCCUGUGCCUCAGUUAACCUUGGCUGGCCUUGGCUCUCUCCCGGAAGGUUUUUCAGUGCUUUUAACAGGAGCUCCCCAGUAGUCCCACAGUGCUUUUGUCUUUAAACUGCUCUCCAUGCAGCCACUUCUGAAUAUAUGCAGCUAAAAGUACAAAAGGUCUUUAAUUCUCCAAAGGAGUUGGGACCAUGUUGCUUCUGGCUUUCAUCCAUUCAUAUUUCUGUUUGUUGCUUGCACUAAUAUGAGCUUUUCAGAAUCAGUAAGAUUCUGUUGUACUGGGCUUUAUUUAUAUUUUUCAUUUGUUUAAUGUCCCUCACAACAAAACUCAGUAGAAAUACUCACCUGACAGGAAGGCACAGAUUGAAUCAUGUUUAACUGGGUGAAGAUGAAGGGCUGUGUUGGAAUGGUUUGACAAAUGUUGUGAGAAAUCAUCAGAAUUGUUGGUCUGGAUACUCCCAAGACAUGUGAGGGAGGAUUUCUAGACUCAGAAGCAGUGGGACCUUUGCAAGCAGAUCAGCAGAGUCCAUCCAAUCAUUGAGCAAGCUGGUGACUUCUCAGUGUGGUUUCUCUCUUAUAAUUUUUCUGGAAGGUCCAAGCAAAAAUUCCCUGUUAGAACCAGGUAAAAUAAAUGCUUGUUCAUUCUUGUGGUCACCACAGGAGGAUCUCUCUAUUUACUGUGCCAGACCUUGGCAGAUCCUUCUCUGUGCUUCAAAAAAGAAAUGGAGGGAUUGAAAAACAAACAAUAGGUGCAAAGACAUAAAUCUUUUCUUUAUAAAAAGCAGCAUAACAUGACUGAUAGGUCUGGUGCACGUUA